GCUACCCUGGAGAAACUGCCCAUGGGGCAGCCCUGCUUUGCAAGGAGCAGGACCUCUGCUGCUGCUGCACACUGCCGCUUCAAUAAAAUUUGCUGUCUAACACCACUGGCUCACCCUUGAAUUCUUUCCUGGGUGAACCCUCCCAAGCUAAGCCCCAAGUUUGGGGCUCUCCUGCCCUGCAUCAGAACCAGGUGGAGAGCUUGGCACAAGCAUAAGGGGUGGGCCGCAACGGCGAGGCCAGGUCAGCCUGAUGUGGUGCUUGGUGUACAGCACGUUCCACCAGUGGCAGGCUCAGGAGCACAUUCUUCCAUUGGGCCAAGGGGGCAGCCCACAGCUGGACGUGGUCAUUUACAAAGGAGGAUGGUUUUCAAAGGCCUUCAUCCAGGGCAAGCCUAACUGCCCCCCACAGAAAGGACUGGAGGUAUUCCUUAGUCAAAGGGACUCAAGGUUAAAAGAGGUUGAAACUGGCCAGCCAGGAAAGUCAAGAUCUACCUCAUUUGGCAGGAAUUCAGCCAGAGGUACCCAGAGGGGAUUCCUUACGAACUCAUAAAAGCCUCCUUAUCUCCCAGAAAAGGAGUGGGUUGUGGGGAUCCACCACACUCAGAGAGCGCUCGCAUAGAUGAGCCUGGGGCUGAGCCACCAGGAGCUGUGCUGUGCCUCAGCUCCCCUUCCUGGGGCCAAAGGGAUGAGUUAUCUAGGGUUGGGGGGAGUCAGGGGUCUGGGCAGGGAUCAAGCAGGAGAGCAAUAUGGGAACAGAGAACAGAACUGCAUUCAUCUAGAUUUCUGACGCUUUGACACCAGGGGUCUUGCUGACUGCCCCUUCCAGGGUUAGCCAAUUCCUAAAAAUAGUAAAUGAGGCUGGGUGCGGUGGCUCAUGCCUGUCAUCUGUCAUCACAGCACUGUGGGAGGCCAAGGGGUUUGAGACCAGCCUGGGCAACAUGAUGAAACCCCAUCUCUACAAAAAAUACAAAAAUUAGCUGGGCAUGGCGACACAAGCCUGUAUUCCCAGCUACCCGAGAAGCUGAGAUGGGAGGAUCACUUCAGCCCAGGAGGUCAAGGCUGCAGUGAGCCAUGAUCUCUCCACUGCACUCCCGCCUAGGUGACAGAGCCAGACUAUGUCUCAAAAACAAAUAAACAAACAAACAAACAAAAGAUAGCAAAUGACUCACCUGGGAACGUGCCUUUCAUGUGCAAACCAACCAAUCCAAAGCCCUCAGCCUAUCACCUCCUCUAUCAGACUUUCACACUCUGAGCCACUAGCCCGUUGCCCUAAUCGCGCCAGCUCCUGGGCCCAGAAAACUAGAGACAGCUCUCAUCACCCCAGAGCCUUCAGAAAUUGCUCAAACCAGUCAGCCCAAGCCUGCCCACCCUGCCUUGCCCAUUUCCACAGAAACUAGAACAAAGGUGCUUGCUCACAUUUUCCCUUCGCUCCCUCUGCCUUCAGACCAACCCUGGUACUUCCUGGCAUGGCCUGCCCUGUCUCCUGCUUUGGGGGAACUGUGAGUAAACAGUUCCUCUUGCCUGACAGUCAUUUCUGCAUCUGCACAUCUUAUCAUACCCGAGUAAAUCAAAAUCCUGGUACCCUACUAACAGGAAGCCACCCCAUUGUAGGCUUUCCAGAUGAAGCAGGCUCAGGAGAAUAAGAAACUUUUCUCCCAACUCCCAGACACCCCCUUUUUUUUGAGUCAGAGUCUUGCUCUGUCACCCAGGCUGGAGUGCAGUGGCACAAUCUUGGUGAAGCUUCC
rnacentral:lncRNA from 1 species